rnacentral:rRNA from 1 species
GAGUUUGAUCCUGGCUCAGGACGAACGCUGGCGGCGUGCUUAACACAUGCAAGUCGAACGGAGCGAAAUGGAAGCUUGCUUCUAUGGAGCUUAGUGGCGAACGGGUGAGUAACGCGUAAUCAACCUGCCCUUCAGAGGGGGACAACAGUUGGAAACGACUGCUAAUACCGCAUACGAUUCAACUUCGGCAUCGAGGAUGAAUGAAAGGUGGCCUCUAUUUAUAAGCUAUCGCUGAAGGAGGGGAUUGCGUCUGAUUAGUUAGUUGGAGGGGUAACGGCCCACCAAGGCGAUGAUCAGUAGCCGGUCUGAGAGGAUGAACGGCCACAUUGGGACUGAGACACGGCCCAGACUCCUACGGGAGGCAGCAGUGGGGAAUCUUCCGCAAUGGACGAAAGUCUGACGGAGCAACGCCGCGUGAGUGAUGACGGCCUUCGGGUUGUAAAGCUCUGUUAAUCGGGACGAAAGGUCCUCUUGUGAAUAAUUAGAGGAAUUGACGGUACCGGAAUAGAAAGCCACGGCUAACUACGUGCCAGCAGCCGCGGUAAUACGUAGGUGGCAAGCGUUGUCCGGAAUUAUUGGGCGUAAAGCGCGCGCAGGCGGAUUAGUCAGUCUGUCUUAAAAGUUCGGGGCUUAACCCCGUGAUGGGAUGGAAACUGCUAAUCUAGAGUAUCGGAGAGGAAAGUGGAAUUCCUAGUGUAGCGGUGAAAUGCGUAGA